rnacentral:rRNA from 1 species
ACGAACGCUGGCGGCACGCUUAACACAUGCAAGUCGAACGAGAGAAGAGGAGCUUGCUUUUCUGAUCUAGUGGCGGACGGGUGAGUAACACGUGAGCAAUCUGCCUUUCAGAGGGGGAUACCGAUUGGAAACGAUCGUUAAUACCGCAUAACAUAAUUGAACCGCAUGAUUUGAUUAUCAAAGAUUUAUCGCUGAAAGAUGAGCUCGCGUCUGAUUAGCUAGUUGGUAAGGUAACGGCUUACCAAGGCGACGAUCAGUAGCCGGACUGAGAGGUUGAUCGGCCACAUUGGGACUGAGACACGGCCCAGACUCCUACGGGAGGCAGCAGUGGGGAAUAUUGCACAAUGGAGGAAACUCUGAUGCAGCGAUGCCGCGUGAGGGAAGAAGGUUUUAGGAUUGUAAACCUCUGUCUUCAGGGACGAAAAAAGACGGUACCUGAGGAGGAAGCUCCGGCUAACUACGUGCCAGCAGCCGCGGUAAUACGUAGGGAGCGAGCGUUGUCCGGAAUUACUGGGUGUAAAGGGAGCGUAGGCGGGAUCGCAAGUCAGAUGUGAAAACUAUGGGCUUAACCCAUAAACUGCAUUUGAAACUGUGGUUCUUGAGUGAAGUAGAGGUAAGCGGAAUUCCUAGUGUAGCGGUGAAAUGCGUAGAUAUUAGGAGGAACAUCAGUGGCGAAGGCGGCUUACUGGGCUUUAACUGACGCUGAGGCUCGAAAGCGUGGGGAGCAAACAGGAUUAGAUACCCUGGUAGUCCACGCCGUAAACGAUGAUUACUAGGUGUGGGGGGACUGACCCCUUCCGUGCCGCAGCAAACGCAAUAAGUAAUCCACCUGGGGAGUACGACCGCAAGGUUGAAACUCAAAGGAAUUGACGGGGGCCCGCACAAGCAGUGGAGUAUGUGGAUUAAUUCGAAGCAACGCGAAGAACCUUACCAGGUCUUGACAUCGUAUGCAUAGCUCAGAGAUGAGUGAAAUCUCUUCGGAGACAUAUAGACAGGUGGUGCAUGGUUGUCGUCAGCUCGUGUCGUGAGAUGUUGGGUUAAGUCCCGCAACGAGCGCAACCCUUACUGUUAGUUGCUACGCAAGAGCACUCUAGCAGGACUGCCGUUGACAAAACGGAGGAAGGUGGGGAUGACGUCAAAUCAUCAUGCCCCUUAUGACCUGGGCCUCACACGUACUACAAUGGCUGUCAACAGAGGGAAGCAAAGCCGCGAGGUGGAGCAAACCCCUAAAAGCAGUCUUAGUUCGGAUUGUAGGCUGCAACCCGCCUACAUGAAGUCGGAAUUGCUAGUAAUCGCAGAUCAGCGUGCUGCGGUGAAUACGUUCCCGGGCCUUGUACACACCGCCCGUCACGCCAUGGGAGUCGGUAACACCCGAAGCCUGUAGUCUAACCGCAAGGAGGACGCAGUCGAAGGUGGGAUUGAUGACUGGGGUG